GAGCUCCUGCAAGAGGUGCUUUGAGAUUGUGGGCUGCUUGGACUGUGCUGGCUGCUCAGCUGUAUGGAGACAACCACCAAGGCAAAGUAUUACAGAAUCCUACAGAUGGAGUAUAAGAAAGCUCUGGUUCAGUAAGACUUUCAGGCCAUCUGUUCAAGUACAGCACCAGAAGGAGGGGAGCUUGAGUGCUGUAAUCUCCAAGGGUGCCAAGCAAGGAGCAAGCGAGGCUGAGACUGGCUGCUGGGCUUGGGAGUCAGAAGAGCUGCAGGAGCAAUUAGAGGAGUCCCUGCACAAACAG